rnacentral:lncRNA from 1 species
AUAAUUAAGCUACAGUAAACCAUUGUUAAUGAAUGCCACGUCACCUCGGUUACUAUUGUUAAUCUCGCGUUAGUUCAAAACGGAUUCAAAUUCAAAUUCAAAUGAAACGCAAACAAGAAAAGUUUUCAAAAAUUAAAACAAAAAUGUUCGGGUUGUGUCAAAUAAAUCGUAAGUAAUUAUGGUGGAGAAACCAAGCCUUUAUAAAAUGCUUAAUUGAACUAUAAGGAUUUAAACAGUAGCAAAACCAUUAAUUAAAUGCCUUUUAUAAUUAAUAAAAAGUCAACCUAAGUUAUUUGGGGAUUAGACUUUUUGUGACUAUGGACUAAGUUGAAAUACUAAUUUAGAUGCUAAGUGUAUAUUUUAGUAAAACUAAAAUAAAUGUUACUAAAAUAAAACAUGAAAGAAUAAAUAUAAAGAAAAUAAAUAAAACAAAGUAAAAAAGAAAAACAAAAAGAAAACCCCCCAAACCCCUGGGCCAACUAUCCCAGCUAAGCAAGAGCCAGGCCGGCCCAACCAGCCCAGGCCGCCCCCACUCCCCCAUAACCCCCUGGGCGACCAAACCCUAGCCCACGUCCCCACAUUCCUCCCCACACUCUCUCUUUCUCUCCCGAUGCUCGUCCGCUCGCUGUCGCGCCAUCGUCGUUGUAGCAUCCAAGGUCGUCCCCGAGCCACGCGAAGUUUUCCAGGAGGAGGGACAUCAUCAUCUUCGUCGUCUACGCCCUUGAGUCCGAGCUAGGAAGCUACCAAUCGUUGCCAUUGUCCUCUUCUUCCCAUCUGCAUCGCCGCAUCCAUCGCCAAGAUCCGCGCCAUCCCGAGCUCCUUCGACUUCACCGAGCCCGCCACGAGCUCCGAUGUGAGCUCCUCCCUCGAUCCCCCACUUUUCCCUGUUGCUAUUGUCGCCGCAGACCGCCGCACCAUCCCCUGCCAGAAGCCGCGCCCGCCGUGGACCUCUGGCCGCGAACGGCUACACCCGGCAGCGCCUCCACGCGCGCCUUCGCUGCUCUGUGCGCGCCUUGGCCACGCGCCUCGCCCGCUCCCGCCUCGGCCAGCCGGUGCACUCUGGUACCCUGCGCCUGCCCGCGCGUCCGCGCUCCCGCGGCCUUGCCUACUGCGCCCGCUGCUACCGCCGAGACGCCCCUGCACCGCAGCAUGCCCCGCCAGCGCACGACCAGCCUCCUCCCACUCGUACCCUCCUCUGGCUACCUCUGACCGGCUAUGCUCCCCUCUGGCCGCCGCUGCCCAGGGCCUCACCCUGCUUCCCCCGCCCCUGUCGCUGAUGAGCGUGGCCGCCGGCGCCUUGGUUGCGUUCGUGCGUGCCCAGCACAGGCCCUACUGGCCUUGUGCCACUGCCUGUGGGCCGACCCCUGUUUAAGUUAGCCUAACCCCACUAAUUAGGCCAAUUCAAUUUAGUUAAAAAAACUGUUAAAUAAAAUAAGUCAGUGACAAUUGGGACCCACGUGUAGUGUUCAUCCUUGACUAGUCAACAUGUUGACCGGGUCAACUCUGCACACUGCCCCCACUUGUCAUACACACUAGGUAGGAAUUCCUGUGUGCACUUAGCAUUUGUUCAGUUUAAUUCAAAAUAAUAAUAAUUGCAGGAAAUUAAUAGAAAAUAAAUCAUAGCUCGGAUGAAAAUACGUUGUACAUGAAAGUUGCUCAGAACAACGAGACGAACCCGGAUACGCAGCCCGUUUGUCUGACACGCAUCCCUAGCAUAGCAAACUCACAACUUUCCCCCUCCGGCUCCUCUGCCCAAAAACGCGAAACACCGGGGAUACCUUCCCGGAUGUUUUCCCCCUUCACCGGUACCACCUCGUACCGCGUUAGGGCACACCUAGCAUCACGCUUUGUCAUGUCAUGCAUCGUCAUGCAUUUGUUUGCAUUAUAUUUAUUGUUUCUUCCCCCUCUUCUCUCGCUAGACAUCGAGACCGACGCCGCUGCUACCCAGUACGACUACGGUGUUGACGACCCCUCUCUCUUGCCAGAGCAACCAGGCAAGCCCCCCCUUUGAUCACCAGAUAUCUCCUAUUCUUCUCUCUACUGCUUGCAUUAGAGUAGUGUAGAAUGUUACUACUUUCAGUUAAUCCUAUAUUGCUGCAUAGCCUGUCCUUACUGCUACUGUUGUUACUUUUACCUGCUAUCCUACUGCUUAGUAUAGGAUGCUAGUGUUCCAUCAGUGGCCCUACACUCUUGUCCGUCUGCCAUGCUAUACUACUGGGCCGUGAUCACUUUCGGAGGUGAUCACGCGCAUAUACUAUAUACUUUACACUGUUACAUUACCGGUGAUACUGUUUGGAGAUGGGGGCUGAAGGGGCAGGUGGCUCCAUCCAGGUAGUGGUGGGCCUGAGUUCCCGACGGCACCCGACUGUUACUUCGAGGCAGAGCGACAGGGCAGGUUAAGACCACCUAGGAGAGAGGUGGGCCUGGCCCUGGUCGGCGUUUGCGGAUACUUAACACGCUUAACGAGAUCUUGGUAUUUGAUCUGAGUCUGGCUACUGGCCUAUAUGCACUAACCAUCUACGUGGGGACAGUUAUGGGCCCUCGACGUCGUGGUAUCAGCCGAAGCCUUCGUGACAUCAGCGACUGAGCGGCACACGCCGGGUUGUACCGCGUAAUGCAACUUGCUUUGUAAUGGAGGUUGCUAGGUCUGCUCACCGGCCGCGUACGCAACGUGCAGGUGUGCAAUGGGCGAUGGGCCGAGACCCCUGUGCCAUAGGAUUUAGACCGGUGUGCUGACCUCUCUGUCGUGCUUAGGUAGGGCUGCGACAUGUUGAUCUUCCGAGGCCGGGCAUGACCCAGGAAAGUGUGUCCGGCCAAAUGGGAUCGAGCGUGUUGGGUUAUGUGGUGCACCCCUGCAGGGAAGUUGAUCUAUUCGAAUAGCCGUGAUCUUUGGUUACAAGACGACUUGGAGUUGUACCUUGACCUUAUGACAACUAGAACCGGAUACUUAAUAGAACACACCCUUCCAAGUGCCAGAUACAAUCGAUGAUCGCUCUCUCACAGAGGGACGAGGGGAGGAUCAUCGGUUAGGAUUAUGCUAUGCGAUGUUACUUGGUGAACUUACCAUCUACUCUCUUCUCCUGCUGCAAGAUAGAGGUUACCAGAAGCGUAGUCUUCGAAAGGACUAGCUAUCCCCCUCUUAUUCCGGCAUUCUGCAGUUCAGUCCACAUAUGAUACCCCCUUUUCCAUUUGAUACCAAUGCAUACAUAUGUAGUGUAGCUCCUUGCUUGCAAGUACUUUGGAUGAGUACUCACGGUUGCUUUGCUCCCCCUUUUCCCCUUUCUAUACUCGAUUGCUGCGACCAGACGAUGGAGCCCAGGAGCCAGACGCCACCGUCGACAGCGACUACUACUACUCAGGAGGUGCCUACUACCACGUGCAGCCCGCUGACGAUGACCAGGAGUAGUUUAGGAGGAUCCCAGGCAGGAGGCACGCGCCUCUUUCGAUCUGUAUCCCAGUUUGUGCUAGCCUUCUUAAGGCAAACUUGUUUAACUUAUGUUUGUACUCAGAUAUUGUUGCUUCCGCUGACUCAUCUAUGAUCGAGCUCUUGUAUCCGAGCCCUCGAGGCCCCUGGCUUGUAAUAUGAUGCUUGUAUGACUUAUUUUAUUUGUAGAGUUGUGUUGUGAUAUCUUCCCGUGAGUCCCUGAUCGUGAUCGUACACGUUUGCGUGUAUGAUUAGUGUACGGUCAAAUCGGGGGCGUCACAAGUUGUUAUCAGAGCCGACUGCCUAUAGGAAUCCCCCUUUCCAAUUCCUUGGCCGGAGUCGAGUCUAGUCAUUGAAAAAGUUUUUACUAACACGGUUGUGCGGCUUACGGCCUCACAUCGCCGUUGGGUGGUAUUAGAAUCUUCUACUCCUUGUCUAUACUCUGGGACUCUGAUCUCUCUUCUAUUCGGGUUAAAUGAAUUUUGCUAAAUCUGACAUUAGGAUCUCGUUAUCACUUUCACCUGGAGAGCCCCUUAUUACUGAUGAUCGUCUGCUGCACUUGAAGACCCUGAAGAUACUCUCUGCUAUUAACCCGAGAACUUUUGUUCAUCGCGUUUGCAGUUCCCCUUCCACCGUCAACCCUUAUGGAUAACUACUUGCAGUUGUUAUUCUUACAUUCAUCCCUAGUUGGUCUUGAUAUUACAAGAUACCCCAAAAUACUCGUCGUUGUUUCGAUAAUCCUUUGAGCUUACCGCCUUGCUGUUCUUUGUCACCUGAAUACCCCUAUGGAUAAUUCUCGCACUUAUUGAGUAUCCGCUCAUCCCCCAGUUGUUCAUGUGUUUCACAAUGGUCUUUGAAAUACUAUUCGAUCCUCCAAAAAUCCUUAGUAGCUUAUUGCUCUGCAAUACUUGUCUGCUUGCAUGAUGGAUGCUUUCCAUAUGUCUGGCAAUAUUCAUUAGUAUCCUUAGGCACCGUCAUCUUGAUCCUUUUGAUUCAACAUGAGUGCGAAUGCACGCAAUCAUCAGUUGAUCCUUUUAAAUUAUCUUUCUGGCUCAGACGUCAUUUUAAACAUGAGCUGGUUCUCAACCAAUCCAAUUGUUGUCGAUUGUACCGCUUAGGUCUAUUGAACUUACCCACCUUUGAUCAGAUCGUCUGCUUCUGAUCCUUCGAUUUAGAAAUCAUAAUAUCUCUGAUUCUAAGCAUCGAAUCAGUCAGUUGUUUCUAUAAUCCAAUGCCUUUGCAUUGUUACUUCCUCUGGUUGUGUGCCGAUGCUCACAACAGCUCUGUUAUUGACCGGCAGAUCCUUUAAUGGAUUUUAUCCUACAACAUCCUUCAUAUUCAAUAACUUUGUGAGUCUUUUCUCGGAUACAUAAUGCCUUUGGUAAAUUGUGUCAUCUGCUUUGUCAACCAUGCUCUACUUUCGAGCUUGUGUUAUUUACUCUUGAAGUUUGUGGUAUAUGUUCCUAAGAGGCCUCGAUGGGUUGGACAUAUGCCUUUUCUAAUCUGUGUGAACCCGGAAACUACUACGGGUCAUACUCUACUGGUGUUAUGUCAGAUAAAAUUUCAACACCACAACUUCGUUGAAGGCAAGAAGUGAAUGAAAGGUUAUGCAUUAAAGAUGUGGGAGUCGACCUUGAACUUUGUGUUCAUGCCCAUGGACAUGAUGUAGAUCCUAUCAUGGAAACAUCUUGUAAUAAUAACUAUUUCCUUGAUAUAAUAUCAUUUGAUAUCGGUGAAUUGACCCUUUGCAGUCGUGGUCCCGACCAUGUUCUCCUUUAAAUACCAUUUCUCAGGCAAGUAAAAACACUUGUCUUCUGCAGAUCAAUACAUCUCCGCAACCCCUAUGUCGAUCUUCCUCGUCAUAUCAUUUCUCCUUGAACAACAAACUUGAUUUCGAGUUUGUGUCGUACCCAUGGUUCCAAUAACAUUUUGCUUCAUCAUUCCUUUGACUCGAUGUCGUCGCUGAUUGAUUACAUCUUCAUGAAAUCUCUCGACAAAUGUGUCGUGAUCAUCAUCAACCUUAUGAGCUCUUCCAGGAUAUCAACCGGAUUCAUGAAGACAAAUACCAUCCUCGCCCUCGAUGAGUUGUGUUAUCAUCAGCCACUUUAUUGCCUUCCCUCCAACACAAACUUGUUUGUGUUUUGUGUUAUACCCUGAGUUCCUUGCUACCCAGCAAUGUUCUUCUUUACCUUGGAGUAUUACCACCUUUUAUGUCAAGAAUGCCAUGGGAAUUUCACCACCUCUUAAGAAUUCUUGAUAUAGUGAUACUUCUCACCAUCACCAUUCUUUCUUGGUCCUCGUGUUGAUUCCAACCGGGGUACCAACAAGUGAACGGUGUUCUUUGGAUUCUGCACUUCUAGCAACCCUAUUGCUUUGAAGUUAAUGGUCGGCCGUUCAUUCUUAGACUAUUGAUUAUUGAAUCACCAUUCUGACAUUGGUCGUACAACCCAACCCAUAUUUCGAGUGCACCUUUCAAACAAUAUUUAAUUGUGUAUGUUUUCCUCGAGCAUACUUCCUUAUAUCAUUUGAUCUGACAAAUGUUAUCUCCUUGUUCACUUAAUUGUGGAAAUCCAUCUUUUGGAAAUCUCGAUGAAUUGCCGUUGAGUUCAUCAGCCACCUCCUUGUCCUCUCCUUGGGUUAAUGAUGAACUCUUGUUAACGGAAAUCACUUCAUAGUUCAUUUCCCGAGAAUCUUACAGUGUCAUCCCGUCAAUUGUGUUGCACCUUUCUUCUCAGGCAUCCUGAGCCUGAGGUAUCCUGACACCAAUCAUAUCUGAAUAUCCGUCAGAUAUGAUGGUUGGAACAUAUUUACAAGAGUUAUAACGCUAGUCUUCAUAAGACCCGGUAAGGUAAUGUCAUGCCUAGCACACCUAGCCAGAGGACCUAUUGUUAUAGUUCUUCCUUUUUGGCAAGGUUAACCAUUCUUCCAUGAGGAAAUUGUAAGACUUAUUCUAUAAGUUAUUCCCGAUGAAUCCUUUGAGUAUCCAAAGUCCGACCUUUGCUUGAAGACCAUGUCAAUGCUAUCUCGAAGCAUGUCUGUGGUACUCCGUUCAUCAAAAAGAACAUUUGAAGCACAAUGCUAAAUUCUCUUUAUCAAUUAUCCAAACACCGUUGUAUGGGUAACGUCAUGAAAUUCCUCUCCCUUUACCUCAAUGGUUCUCUACUUUCUAUCCUGUCAUGGAUAUCAUGCCCCACUUGUCCUUGGGAAGGAUAUACCCCUGAAAUAUGUGUGUAUACACAUUUUCCUCCCCAUUGUUCUGAUUAAACCUGGUAAUCACCUUUCCUUUCCAUUGGUUUGCUUAACCCUUCUUGUAAUCUAUAUUAUAUAAGCAGUAGUAUUCUUCUGCUUAUGCAAAACACCUUGGUGUACAACCGUGUCAGUAAGACCCUGUUGCUUUUGUUGAUAGCAUUCCGGGAACCACCGAUGGACGAGAACUUUGCCUAUUGGUCUGCCUCGUUCAACGAGCAGGAAAACGGUUCUCUUCGUCCCUCGCCCUUGGUACCGAUGUUGUUGCCGACAUAACCGACAGACUAUCCUGUGACAUGCCUUGGUUUCAUGAUCGUGCAAGACGUCACCGCCCUUCCUGCUUUUAACCCACAUGGUGGGCCCAUAACCCACAGUUCCACAGGAUUGAAACCUGACUCUCUUGUACACCCUGUUGCCAAAGAUAUUCCUCGCGCUUGACUUCAUAUGUAAUUCUGGUACCAGGUGCAUUACUUAUUCUCGUUGCUCUAAACCCCUUUCACCCUCUGUUUCAGACAACGGAUGAUUGCCUAUGCGCUUGAAACUUCUACUUUGCACCUUCUUACCUUACUCUCGAUAAUUUGUUAAGUUUCAAUUCGAGAGUUACUUUUCGCCACCUUCCCUAAUGUUAUCUACCGGAUAAGCAACCGGGCAGAGUUCCAUUCCUUCGAGUUACCCCUUAUCAUUUUACGUAAGUACGAUGGAGUUCCCAAAGAAAGGAUGACAACUUCAUCCCGACACAUAGAAGUAGAGGAAUGGAGGGAUAAACAUCAUGGAGCAAACUCUUUGAGAAGAGCAACCAAGAUCGAGAAGAUCCGUUAGAAUUUCGUAACCAGAACUCCUCCCCCCUUAUACACCUGUUAAAUCUCGGGACGAGAUUUCUUGUAGUGGGGGAGAAUUGUGACGCCUGGAUAAUUAAGCUACAGUAAAUCACUGUUAAUGAAUGCCACGUCACCGCGGUUACUGUUGUUAAUUUCGCAUUAGUUCAAAACGAAUUCAAAUUCAAAUGAAAGGCAAACAAGAAAAGUUUUCAAAAAUUAAAACUAAAAUGUCCAGGUUGUGUCAAAUAAAUCGUAAGUAAUUAUGGUGGAGAAACCAAGCCUUUAUAAAAUGCUUAAUUGAACUAUAAGUAUUUAAAGAGUAGCAAACCAUUAAUUAAAUGCCUUUUAUAAUUAAUAAAAAGUCAAACCAAGUUAUUUGGGGAUUAGACUUUUUGUGACUGUGGACUAAGUUGAAAUACUAAUUUAGAUGCUAAGUGUAUAUUUUAGUAAAACUAAAAUAAAUGUUACUAAAAUAAAACAUGAAAGAAUAAAUAUAAAGAAAAUAAAUAAAACAAAG